AGAGUUUGAUCCUGGCUCAGGAUGAACGCUAGCUACAGGCUUAACACAUGCAAGUCGAGGGGCAGCAUGUUGUGUGCUUGCACACAAUGAUGGCGACCGGCGCACGGGUGAGUAACGCGUAUCCAACCUUCCCAUGACUCCGGUUCAGCCCGCCGAAAGGCGGAUUACUCCCGGAUGGUUUCCGAAGAGGGCAUCUGAUUUGGAAUAAAGAUUGAUCGGUCAUGGAUGGGGAUGCGUCUGAUUAGGCAGCAGGCGGGGUAACGGCCCACCUGGCCUACGAUCAGUAGGGGUUCUGAGAGGAAGGUCCCCCACACUGGAACUGAGACACGGUCCAGACUCCUACGGGAGGCAGCAGUGAGGAAUAUUGGUCAAUGGGCGAGAGCCUGAACCAGCCAAGUAGCGUGCAGGAUGACGGCCCUAUGGGUUGUAAACUGCUUUUAUAUGAGGAUAAAGUUCGUUACGUGUAACGUUUUGCAGGUAUCAUAUGAAUAAGGACCGGCUAAUUCCGUGCCAGCAGCCGCGGUAAUACGGAAGGUCCGGGCGUUAUCCGGAUUUAUUGGGUUUAAAGGGAGCGCAGACGGUCAGUUAAGCGUGCAGUUAAAUGAUGUGGCUCAACCAUGUUAUGCUGCGCGAACUGGCUGACUUGAGUUCACGGAACGUGGGCGGAAUUUGUGGUGUAGCGGUGAAAUGCUUAGAUAUCACGAAGAACUCCGAUUGCGAAGGCAGCCCGCGGCAGUGUUACUGACGUUCAUGCUCGAAGGUGCGGGUAUCGAACAGGAUUAGAUACCCUGGUAGUCCGCACGGUAAACGAUGGAUGCCCCCCUGUC
rnacentral:rRNA from 1 species